rnacentral:lncRNA from 1 species
GGCUGCAUCUUCAACAUGCUGGCGGAGCUCGGUUUCAUCGGGACCAUCGGCGAAAAUGACGAGGUGCCGGUUGAACCCGAGUCGGAUUCCGGAGACGAGGAGGAGGAGGUGGGAACCGGCGGGGGAAGGAACCAUGGGCGGGAGCGGCCGGGAAUGAGCUGCGAGCUAAGCUGUGCGAACUCCGCAGGCGGAGUCAGUCUUGGUUCCUGCCUGGUUGGGGACACAUGCUCCCGUGUAUCCACCAAGCCUCCCAGGCUGUUCUAGUGGUGCUAGGGGAUGUAGCCUUGAGAAAGUAGCUCUAGGGUGAGUGGCGAGUAAAACAAAAACAAAAACAUCCAAAAAGCCAAAAAACCCUGCGUAUCUCACAUUG